CAUGCAAGUCGAACGAGGUUAGAAAGCUUGCUUUUGAUACCUAGUGGCGGACGGGUGAGUAAUGCUUAGGAAUCUGCCUAGUAGUGGGGGAUAACUUGGGGAAACUCAAGCUAAUACCGCAUACGACCUACGGGUGAAAGGGGGCGCAAGCUCUCGCUAUUAGAUGAGCCUAAGUCGGAUUAGCUAGUUGGUGGGGUAAAGGCCUACCAAGGCGACGAUCUGUAGCUGGUCUGAGAGGAUGAUCAGCCACACUGGGACUGAGACACGGCCCAGACUCCUACGGGAGGCAGCAGUGGGGAAUAUUGGACAAUGGGCGAAAGCCUGAUCCAGCCAUGCCGCGUGUGUGAAGAAGGCCUUUUGGUUGUAAAGCACUUUAAGUGGGGAGGAAAAGUUAAUGGUUAAUACCCAUUAGCCCUGACGUUACCCACAGAAUAAGCACCGGCUAA
rnacentral:rRNA from 1 species